GAGGUUACUGCUAUCGAGGUUCGACUAAGCCAUGCGAGUCGAAUGUAGCAAUACAUGGCGAACUGCUCAGUAACACGUGGACAACCUGCCCUUAGGUUGGGUAUAAACCCGGGAAACUGGGUAUAAUACCCGAUAGGUCUCGAUUGCUGGAAUGCAUCGAGAUUUAAAGCUCCGGCGCCUAAGGAUGGGUCUGCGGCCUAUCAGGUAGUAGUGGGUGUAGCGUACCUACUAGCCUACGACGGGUACGGGUUGUGAGAGCAAGAGCCCGGAGAUGGAUUCUGAGACACGAAUCCAGGCCCUACGGGGUGCAGCAGGCGCGAAAACUUUACAAUGCUGGCAACAGCGAUAAGGGAACCUCGAGUGCCAGGUUACAAAUCUGGCUGUCGAGAUGCCUAAAAAGCAUUUCAUAGCAAGGGCCGGGCAAGACCGGUGCCAGCCGCCGCGGUAACACCGGCGGCUCGAGUGGUAACCGUUAUUAUUGGGUCUAAAGGGUCUGUAGCCGGCCGGAUAAGUCUCUUGAGAAAUCUGGCAGCUUAACUGUCAGGCUUUCAGGAGAUACUGUCUGGCUCGAGGCCGGGAGAGGUGAGAGGUACUUCAGGGGUAGGGGUGAAAUCUUGUAAUCCUUGAAGGACCACCAGUGGCGAAGGCGUCUCACCAGAACGGACCUGACGGCAAGGGACGAAAGCUAGGGGCACGAACCGGAUUAGAUACCCGGGUAGUCCUAGCCGUAAACGAUACUCGCUAGGUGUCGGCCACGGUGCGACCGUUGUCGGUGCCGUAGGGAAGCCGUGAAGCGAGCCACCUGGGAAGUACGGCCGCAAGGCUGAAACUUAAAGGAAUUGGCGGGGGAGCACCACAACGGGUGGAGCUUGCGGUUU
rnacentral:rRNA from 1 species